rnacentral:lncRNA from 1 species
GGGAGCCCGAGCUCCACCGCCUGCAGGCACACAGUUGGCCUGGCCCAGUACUGCGCGUCCGAACUGCACCCAAGGGGCAACACCUGUGGCAGCACCUUGCGCUAGGAACUUCAGAAAAAGCGCAACAGGAAAGAUUCCCAACCCCCCAGCAACGUCGCCGAGAACCUACUGCACGAGGCCACUCCAUAGCCCAUGUUUCCUGUACUGGGGGGUUUGGCAGCACUGCCUAGGGUCUGUUUAAGCUCUUGGCCUUCACAGAGAGCCAGGCACCCUGAAUACAGAGCAUUCUACCCACGGGACCAGAUGGUGACAGGGGAGGAAAGGCUGUCACAGGGCCUUGCAGUCAGGUGGACAAAUAGCAGCUGUGGACACAAACAUCUUCUGGUAAAACACUCUCAAAAGUUGCUGCAGUAAGAGUUAAAUGUUAAUGCUGAGUUGCGUUUUUUGUUUUGAAAGUUUUG